rnacentral:rRNA from 1 species
UACGUAGGGGGCUAGCGUUGUCCGGAAUCAUUGGGCGUAAAGAGCGUGUAGGCGGCUCGGUAAGUCCGCUGUGAAAGUCCAGGGCUCAACCCUGGAAUGCCGGUGGAAACUGUCGGGCUAGAGUCCGGAAGAGGCGAGUGGAAUUCCUGGUGUAGCGGUGAAAUGCGCAGAUAUCAGGAAGAACACCCGUGGCGAAGGCGGCUCUCUGGGACGGUACUGACGCUGAGACGCGAAAGCGUGGGGAGCGAACAGG